rnacentral:rRNA from 1 species
AUUGAACGCUGGCGGCAUGCCUUACACAUGCAAGUCGAACGGCAGCGCGGACUUCGGUCUGGCGGCGAGUGGCGAACGGGUGAGUAAUACAUCGGAACGUACCCUGUUGUGGGGGAUAACUAGUCGAAAGAUUAGCUAAUACCGCAUACGACCUGAGGGUGAAAGUGGGGGAUCGCAAGGCCUCCCGCAGCAGGAGCGGCCGAUGUCUGAUUAGCUAGUUGGUGGGGUAAAGGCUCACCAAGGCGACGAUCAGUAGCUGGUCUGAGAGGACGAUCAGCCACACUGGAACUGAGACACGGCCCAGACUCCUACGGGAGGCAGCAGUGGGGAAUUUUGGACAAUGGGGGCAACCCUGAUCCAGCAAUGCCGCGUGUGUGAAGAAGGCCUUCGGGUUGUAAAGCACUUUUGUCCGGAAAGAAAUCGAGCUGGUUAAUACCUGGCGUGGAUGACGGUACCGGAAGAAUAAGCACCGGCUAACUACGUG